rnacentral:rRNA from 1 species
GACGAACGCUGGCGGCGUGCUUAACACAUGCAAGUCGAACGGAAAGGCCCUGCUUUUGUGGGGUGCUCGAGUGGCGAACGGGUGAGUAACACGUGAGUAACCUGCCCUUGACUUUGGGAUAACUUCAGGAAACUGGGGCUAAUACCGGAUAGGAGCUCCUGCUGCAUGGUGGGGGUUGGAAAGUUUCGGCGGUUGGGGAUGGACUCGCGGCUUAUCAGCUUGUUGGUGGGGUAGUGGCUUACCAAGGCUUUGACGGGUAGCCGGCCUGGGAGGGUGACCGGGCACAAUGGGACUAAGAUACGGCCCAGAGUCCUACGGGAGACAGAAGUGGGGAAUAUUGCACAGUGAGCGGAAGCGUGAUGCAGCGACGCCGCGUGCGGGAUGACGGCCUUCGGGUUGUAAACCGCUUUCGCCUGUGACGAAGCGUGAGUGACGGUAAUGGGUAAAGAAGCACCGGCUAACUACGUG